rnacentral:rRNA from 1 species
AACGAACGCUGGCAGCGCGCCUAACACAUGCAAGUCGAACGAGAAGGCGUAGCAAUACGCUUGUAAAGUGGCGAACGGGUGAGGAAUACGUGGGUAACCUACCCUCGAGUGGGAAUAACCAACCGAAAGGUUGGCUAAUGCCGCGUACGCUUCCAUCUCUUCGGAGGUGGAAGGAAAGGACUGUACCGUGGGUACAGCGCUCAAGGGAUGGGCUCACGUCCUAUCAGCUUGUUGGAGGGUAACGGCCUACCAAGGCAACGACGGUAGCUGGUCUGAGAGGACGAUCAGCCACACUGGCACCUGCGACACGGGCCAGACUCCUACGGGAGGCAGCAGUGAGGAAUAUUGCGCAAAUGGGCGAAAGCCUGACGCAGCGACGCC